rnacentral:rRNA from 1 species
UUAGACCUACGGGGCGCAGCAGUCGGGAAUAUUGCGCAAUGGAGGAAACUCUGACGCAGUGACGCCGCGUGCAGGAAGAAGGUUUUCGGAUUGUAAACCGCUUUAGACAGGGAAGAUAAAAGACAGUACCUGUAGAAUAAGCUCCGGCUAACUACGUGCCAGCAGCCGCGGUAAUACGUUGGGAGCAAGCGUUAUCCGGAUUUAUUGGGUGUAAAGGGUGCGUAGACGGGAAGGCAAGUUAGUUGUGAAAUCCCUCGGCUUAACUGAGGAACUGCAACUAAAACUACAUUUCUUGAGUGCUGGAG